rnacentral:rRNA from 1 species
GGUCACUGCUAUCGGUGUUCGACUAAGCCAUGCGAGUCAAAUGUUCUUCGUGAACAUGGCGUACUGCUCAGUAACACGUGGAUAACCUGCCCUUAGGUCUGGCAUAACCCCGGGAAACUGGGGAUAAUUCCGGAUAGAUCAUGGAUGCUGGAAUGCACCGUGGUCGAAAGCUUUGGUGCCUAAGGAUGGGUCUGCGGUCUAUCAGGUUGUAGUGGGUGUAGCGUACCUACUAGCCUACGACGGAUACGGGUUGUGGGAGCAAGAGCCCGGAGAUGGAUUCUGAGACAUGAAUCCAGGCCCUACGGGGCGCAGCAGGCGCGAAAACUUUACAAUGCGGGAAACCGCGAUAAGGGGACACCGAGUGCCAGCAUCCUAUGUUGGCUGUCCAUAUGUAUAAAUAACAUGUGUUAGCAAGGGCCGGGCAAGACCGGUGCCAGCCGCCGCGGUAACACCGGCGGCCCGAGUGGUGGCCACUAUUAUUGGGUCUAAAGGGUCCGUAGCCGGUUUGGUCAGUCUUCCGGGAAAUCUGACGGCUUAACCGUUAGGCUUUCGGGGGAUACUGCCAGGCUUGGGACCGGGAGAGGUAAGAGGUACUACGGGGGUAGGAGUGAAAUCUUGUAAUCCCUGUGGGACCACCAGUGGCGAAGGCGUCUUACCAGAACGGGUCCGACGGUGAGGGACGAAAGCUAANNCACGAACCGGAUUAGAUACCCNNGUAGUCCCAGCCGUAAACUAUGCUCGCUANGUGUCANNGACNGUGCGACCGUUUCUGGUGCCGUAGAAGAAGCCGUNAAGCNNGCCACCU